UGGGGAAUAUUGCGCAAUGGGGGGAACCCUGACGCAGCCAUGCCGCGUGAAUGAAGAAGGCCUUCGGGUUGUAAAGUUCUUUCGGUAUUGAGGAAGGUUGAUGUGUUAAUAGCACAUCAAAUUGACGUUAAAUACAGAAGAAGCACCGGCUAACUCCGUGCCAGCAGCCGCGGUAAUACGGAGGGUGCGAGCGUUAAUCGGAAUAACUGGGCGUAAAGGGCACGCAGGCGGUUAUUUAAGUGAGGUGUGAAAGCCCUGGGCUUAACCUAGGAAUUGCAUUUCAGACUGGGUAACUAGAGUACUUUAGGGAGAGGUAGAAUUCCACGUGUAGCGGUGAAAUGCGUAGAGAUGUGGAGGAAUACCGAAGGCGAAGGCAGCCCCUUGGGAAUGUACUGACGCUCAUGUGCGAAAGCGUGGGGAGCAAACAGGAUUAGAUACCCUGGUAGUCCACGCUGUAAACGCUGUCGAUUUGGGGGUUGGGGUUUAACUCUGGCGCCCGUAGCUAACGUGAUAAAUCGACCGCCUGGGGAGUACGGCCGCAAGGUUA
rnacentral:rRNA from 1 species